CUACGGAAGGCAGCAGUGAGGAAUAUUGGACAAUGGGCGCAAGCCUGAUCCAGCCAUCCCGCGUGAAGGAUUAAGGCCCUCUGGGUUGUAAACUUCUUUUUUGGGGGAAUAAAAACCGGGAUUUAUCCUGGCUUGAAGGUACCCCAAGAAUAAGCACCGGCUGACUCCGUGCCAGCAGCCGCGGUAAUACGGAGGGUGCAAGCGUUAUCCGGAUUCACUGGGUUUAAAGGGUGCGUAGGUGGCUUUGUAAGUCAGUGGUGAAAUCUCGGAGCUUAACUCCGAAACUGCCAUUGAUACUGCUUAGCUUGAAUCAAGUAGAGGUGGAUGGAAUAAUACAUGUAGCGGUGAAAUGCUUAGAUAUGUAUUAGAACACCGAUUGCGAAGGCAGUUCACUAUGCUUGUAUUGACACUGAGGCACGAAAGCGUGGGGAUCAAACAGGAUUAGAUACCCCUGUAU
rnacentral:rRNA from 1 species